rnacentral:ncRNA from 2 species
GACAUGUCUGCGGGAGAGACUGAAUCGCACAAGUAUGCGGUCAGCGCCGAAGGAGCAACUGCCCCGGAAACUCUCAGGCAAAAGGACCGCUGACAUGAA